CUCCUACGGGAGGCUGCAGUGGGGAAUUUUGGACAAUGGGCGCAAGCCUGAUCCAGCAAUGCCGCGUGCAGGAUGAAGGCCUUCGGGUUGUAAACUGCUUUUGUACGGAACGAAAAGGUUCUCUCUAAUACAGGGGGCAUAUGACGGUACCGUAAGAAUAAGCACCGGCUAACUACGUGCCAGCAGCCGCGGUAAUACGUAGGGUGCGAGCGUUAAUCGGAAUUACUGGGCGUAAAGCGUGCGCAGGCGGUUUUGUAAGACAGAGGUGAAAUCCCCGGGCUCAACCUGGGAACUGCCUUUGUGACUGCAAGGCUGGAGUGCGGCAGAGGGGGAUGGAAUUCCGCGUGUAGCAGUGAAAUGCGUGGAUAUGCGGAGGAACACCGAUGGCGAAGGCAAUCCCCUGGGCCUGCACUGACGCUCAUGCACGAAAGCGUGGGGAGCAAACAGGAUUAGAUACCCCGGUAGUCCACGCCCUAAACGAUGUCAACUGGUUGUUGGGGGUUAAUUCACUCAGUAACGAAGCUAACGCGUGAAGUGACCGCC
rnacentral:rRNA from 1 species